rnacentral:tRNA from 1 species
GAGGUUGUGGCUCAAUGGUAGAGCGCUUGCCUGGCAUGUGUGAGGCUCUGGGUUUGAUCCUCAGCACCACG